GCGGGGAUGUCCGAGUGGCCAAAGGAGGCAGGCUCAGGACCUGCUGGCGUAGGCCUGCGCGAGUUCGAAUCUCGCUCCCCGCACCA
rnacentral:tRNA from 1 species